AAAUAAUGCAUUGUAAUAAAGUGCAUCUGUCUGCAGGAAGAAGAGCACUGUGAAGUCGGUGAGAGAAAAUGAUUACGUCAUGACAGAGGAAAACGCGUACGAGACCAGCCUGGACAUUGUCAGAAGCAAAGAAGACAGGAAUGCUUACGACAACGUGGUGAUGGACAGCACUGAGGACAAACUUACCGCCAUGUGACCCUCCUGCCCUGAUUCUAUUGGCUGCCGUCCUCACCAACUCUGGACAGGGAAAAAAAUACCUUAACUGUUGUUCGUAUUUAUUUUAAGUUGAUUGAAUCAUUUACCUGGCUAACAAAUAUCUUCUAAGACUGUUUGAUUUUUUUAAUAUUUAAAUUAUAUUAUAUGUAUUGUUAAUACUUUUUGUGUUAAUCAGUUAGUGUAUCAGCAUGUUUUCAGUCCCCUCUUGUGAUUUGGAGCAGUGAACAUGAGGACAAGCAGCUUUCCAUCCCAUGAUCUUUCUGCUGAUUAAUAAGUUAUGUUUUCUAACAAACUGCUGUGUCGCCUCCUUUCUGAUCAAUGGAAGACUGACCUGCCAUUAUGAAUGAAACACUCAGAGAGUAUGGCACAUUUUACAAUAAACAGUGAGCAGUACUGACCCUGGUGUGUGACUGAAUCAGAAACUGAUAGUACAACACACUGACCUCACACCUGAAGUGGAAAAUACAAACACACUGACCUCACACCUGAAGUGGAACAUACGGACACACUGACCUCACACCUGAAGUGGAACAUACGGACACACUGACCUCACACCUGAAGUGGAACAUACGAACACACUGACCUCACACCUGAAGUGGAACAUACGAACACACCAAUCAUAUUAGAGUUCAGGAAAAAUCAUUCAUGGCAUAUUGUGUUCUCUUUAUGGUUUCAUUAUACACAGAUCAUUUUUGCACAAAACAGAGUGGAUGCUCAAUAAUUAGAACAGACAGAUCAUUCACAACAUGUCUCUGUUAACUCAGAGCCUUCUGUCUCUUUGGAUCAUUAUAUGAAAUCAAACUGAGCGGUUUUAGUUUUUCACUGAGUGAUAGACAGCCUUAGCUGGAUGUCUUUUGAAAAUGUUAAAGUGACAUUCGAGUUGUUUAAUCCUUUUUAUCAUUUGUAUUCUUAUAGGUUUCUGAUGUACUAUUUAUGCACAUUCCUCAAAAACAUUAUAUUUGGACAAAUAGUAUAUUGGAGUCUGACUGAUAUAUUAUUGAUCAUAUUCAUUAAGUAUAAGGGUUUAUCUGAUCAGUUAAUGUGAGCAGACAAAUGUUUAUUUGACUUUUCAGCUGUACAUUUAGUAGAUAAUCAACAUUUUAGGAAAAAGAAAAGACAAAGUCUAUCAAAUCUGUUUUAGGAAAAAUUCAGUUUUAGUUUGGAAGGUCUUAUUGGGUGGGCUUAAAAGGUUCAACAUGCGAGACACAAAUACCAAAGACAUCACUAUUGUAACAAAAGGCGAGGGAGUACAAGAGAAAAACUGACAUUGAUGGAUGUGUGAUGAUUAGAUAUUUUUGUGUGAUGAUUAGAUAUUUUUGUGUGAUGAUUAGAUAUUUUUUCAAGGGACUUUGGUACUGUGGCUUGCUGCACUGACAACACCAGGAAACAAGAGAAAAUCAAGUCCUGUCCUGCACCACUUUGCUUCAAACUGCAGCGUGUUGUCACCGAGUGUCACAUCAGGUCCUUUUUCCUGGUAAUUUAUAAAGAUUGUUCAGACUGGAUUAACAUUAAAGGAGGAGGCAGAGAAUUACAUUUUCACUGUAUAGUAAGUAACUCAUCGUUCAGUACAUUGUAACAAUGGUGAAGUGACAGGAUAUUAAGAUCUGUACUGUAGUAAAUGAAACAAGAAAAGCCUUACAAAUAAGGGAGUCAAAUGGAAGACAAAUAUACUUGUGACGCAGGGAACUU